UACGUAGGUGACAAGCGUUGUCCGGAUUUACUGGGCGUAAAGAGCGCGCAGGCGGUCGUUCAAGUCGAGUGUGAAAGCCCCCGGCUCAACUGGGGAGGGUCAUUCGAUACUGAUCGACUCGAAGGCAGGAGAGGGAAGUGGAAUUCCCGGUGUAGUGGUGAAAUGCGUAGUUAUCGGGAGGAACACCAGUGGCGAAGGCGACUUCCUGGCCUGUUCUUGACGCUGAGGCGCGAAAGCUAGGGGAGCAAACGGG
rnacentral:rRNA from 1 species